GGUGCUUCCUGCCCUAGGCCUGGGCUCUGUUUUUAUUCUAAUAUGGGGCUUUCUAGGACGUUAAGCUGUAAGCUGUUUUCUUCCUGUAACUGAAGUAAGGUAAAGUUCAGCUCUUAUUCACAGGGGCCUGGGGUGGCUGUACUUGUGCUAACGCUGAACUUAAAGUGGAAUGGCCUUAAUUUUCUUGGCCUCCACACCAAGGACAAUCCAAGUCUCUGCUGAGCGUUUUUGAGUAUUUCUUAGCUGGGGAGACAGUCUCUCACAUCACACAUUCUUGCCACAGUGGCUUUGAACACUCCCAGGGCCUCGAGGUCAGAGGGCAAAUCUGCCAUGAGCUGGUGUGUCAGUCUCUUUGGAAACCUUCAGAAAUGAUUCCGACGUGCAGCCAGAGUUGGGAACCAUGAAAACGGAAAUCCAGUUACGUCUGUACCUGGACUCUGAGGAUGAGGACCGAGGCUCAGUCUCCUCCAGUGGGCAAGCGGGUCCUGCUGCACCUGCCUUCUUCCAGCCUCGCUCGGGACUCAGACACACCAGCUCGAAUCCCAAACCUGAGAGUCUGCCUCUGGGCAAUCACUUCUUACUUCGUGUUUCAACCUCUACAUCAGUAAAUGGACAGAUAAAUCUCAGUGGAUAAGGCUGUCCUGAGGAUGAAACGGGAUUGGGUGAGUUCAGUGAUGAGGACUCUGCCCGGCAACGAUUCAACAGAAAAUGUAGCUUCUGUAGUGCUUCUGUGUGCUAGUCAGACCACAUAUGGGAUCUGGUUUAAUCUCGGGAUGAUCUAAUGACAUAAGUCAUAUUGAUGAGGGGGCAGGGCUAGCUGAGGACAAAGCACAACAGAUAUCCUGCAAAGGCCCCCCACCCAGGCUGGGAUAGGUGUGACAUUCUUAAUGUUAAUGCCUUGCUAGAAGGAAAAGCAGUCUUUAACUUAACAAUGGCAAGGCCUCCAGUAUCUUGUUGGCCCUCCUUAGCAUAUGAAGAUCCUUUUGAAAUCUCCCUUUUGUUUGCUUCCCCCAACCCCUGGGGGAAUCAGUCUCC
rnacentral:lncRNA from 1 species